GGAGGGAUGGCAGAGCGGACGAUUGCGACGGUCUUGAAAACCGUUGUGGGGUAACCCACCGGGGGUUCGAAUCCCUCUCCCUCCG
rnacentral:tRNA from 1 species